GAUGAACGCUGGCGGCGUGCUUAACACAUGCAAGUCGAACGGGAUCCCAGGAGCUUGCUCCUGGGUGAGAGUGGCGAACGGGUGAGUAAUGCGUGACCGACCUGCCCCAUACACCGGAAUAGCUCCUGGAAACGGGUGGUAAUGCCGGAUGCUCCAGUUGACCGCAUGGUCCUCUGGGAAAGAUUCAUCGGUAUGGGAUGGGGUCGCGUCCUAUCAGCUUGAUGGCGGGGUAACGGCCCACCAUGGCUUCGACGGGUAGCCGGCCUGAGAGGGCGACCGGCCACAUUGGGACUGAGAUACGGCCCAGACUCCUAUGGGAGGCAGCAGUGGGGAAUAUUGCACAAUGGGCGCAAGCCUGAUGCAGCGACGCCGCGUGCGGGAUGACGGCCUUCGGGUUGUAAACCGCUUUUGACUGGGAGCAAGCCCUUCGGGGUGAGUGUACCUUUCGAAUAAGCAC
rnacentral:rRNA from 1 species